rnacentral:rRNA from 1 species
AGGUGAACCUGCGGAAGGAUCAUUACCGAGUGAGGGCCCUUUGGGUCCAACCUCCCACCCGUGUUUAUUUACCUCGUUGCUUCGGCGGGCCCGCCUUAACUGGCCGCCGGGGGGCUCACGCCCCCGGGCCCGCGCCCGCCGAAGACACCCCCGAACUCUGCCUGAAGAUUGUCGUCUGAGUGAAAAUAUAAAUUAUUUAAAACUUUCAACAACGGAUCUCUUGGUUCCGGCAUCGAUGAAGAACGCAGCGAAAUGCGAUACGUAAUGUGAAUUGCAAAUUCAGUGAAUCAUCGAGUCUUUGAACGCACAUUGCGCCCCCUGGUAUUCCGGGGGGCAUGCCUGUCCGAGCGUCAUUGCUGCCCUCAAGCCCGGCUUGUGUGUUGGGCCCCGUCCUCCGAUUCCGGGGGACGGGCCCGAAAGGCAGCGGCGGCACCGCGUCCGGUCCUCGAGCGUAUGGGGCUUUGUCACCCGCUCUGUAGGCCCGGCCGGCGCUUGCCGAUCAACCCAAAUUUUUAUCCAGGU